rnacentral:tRNA from 1 species
CAGAGUAUAAUUUAAUAAAAAAUGUAAACUUUGGGAGUUUAUAAUAAGAGUAAUCUUUUCUCUGA